AGUAGAUCAAAGCCUGUUUCUACAGUGGAGGUAAUGCUUUCUGGCAUGCCGCAUUUUCCAGGGAUAUGUUAUGAGGACGCUGUCUCGGCCACGCUUGCAUCCAAUGUCUAUCUCGUAUCUGAUACGUGCUACAUUGAUAUCCUCCAGAACAAGCCUCUGGUUUGUGUAAACGGACAAUAUCUGAGGAGUCGAGUUGAGGGAUCUUUGAACUCUGGGUCAUAGAUGUUUGAAACUUCCAAAAUGCAAGCAUCUAGCACCAUGUAGUUCAUUCUAGUAUGUUAUGUAGAAUGGAAUGCAGGGCUCACAGGGCAUAUGCCUUGGGUGCAAAAAACCAAGCAAGUGGUGAGAGUUUAUAGUGCUGGUGAUUUGGGGCGAAAGGGCGAAAGUCCUUUUUCUUUGAUCAAAAUAUUACCUUUACAUGGUCAAACUAAAGUGGGGCUAUGUUUAGCUGUCAAAGAGUCAUUGUCUAAUUGAGAUGGCGAUGCCGCAGCAAGGUGAGUGGAGGAAUUUCAAGAUUGAAGACUGUGAGAUAACAAGGAUCUGAGGCAAUCGUCCAGAAAGCUUGCUCCGAUGGCUCAAACUACCCGAAGUUUGCAAGAUACUUCGCAAUUAUCAGAGCUACCGUUCCUCCCAGCAGGCCCACCAGUGGAUCCUUGCUCUUGUUUCAUUGCAACGCCUUACAGGUAAAGUUUAUGCUUUCUCUCGCUGGCCUGUGCUCAAGAAUUUUAGUACUGGACACAGAGAGCGCACUAGCUAGAAAAUCAAGCGACUCGCUAGUUUUGGACGAUGAGCGCUGGCAGAGAUAGGUAGCAACAAUAUAGAUGCGGUCUCGAGCUCCAUUUGGGCAGCCAUGGACGAUUACAAGGACAGAGAAGAAACCUCCAACCUCCCUAUGCCAAUGGAGCUUGAGAUGAGUGCCCAGUUCCCACGAUUGAGCAUUACAGACUUCAAGAAACCACUUGCACUCAUAAAAAUCGCGUGAGACAAAAGGGAAAGUGCAAGUCGUCUUUGAGAGCUAGGGCUUUAGUGCUACAAUGUAGCAGUAAUGCGGGAAGCGAUCUCGCGCAAUCCGGGCCCCUCUCGGAACGGUGGAGGUAAGGAUUGUAAUUCUUUCUGGGAUUUUGUAGCGCUUAGGAGAUCCAGGCGCAAGUUUAUGAGAAAGAGAUUUUCUCAGUCAGGCAAAAAGCUGAGCGUUCAAGUUGAGUGAUCUUUUAACUCAGCUGUUUUACUCCAUAUUGAACUUAAACGUAUGUGCUUCUUUCUCAAAA